rnacentral:rRNA from 1 species
GGGAGUGGCAAGCGUUAUCCGGAAUUAUUGGGCGUAAAGCGUCCGCAGGCGGCUUUUCAAGUCUGCUGUUAAAACGUGGAGCUCAACUCCAUCAUGGCAGUGAAAACUGAAAGGCUUGAGUAUGGUAGGGGCAGAGGGAAUUCCCGGUGUAGCGGUGAAAUGCGUAGAUAUCGGGAAGAACACCAGUGGCGAAGGCGCUCUGCUGGGCCAUUACUGACGCUCAUGGACGAAAGCCAGGGGAGCGAAAGGGAUUAGAUACCCCUGUAGUCCUGGCCGUAAACGAUGAACACUAGGUGUCGGGGGAAUCGACCCCUUCGGUGUCGUAGCUAACGCGUUAAGUGUUCCGCCUGGGGAGUACGCACGCAAGUGUGAAACUCAAAGGAAUUGACGGGGGCCCGCACAAGCGGUGGAGUAUGUGGUUUAAUUCGAUGCAACGCGAAGAACCUUACCAGGGUUUGACAUCCUGCGAACCUCUUAGAAAUUUGAGGGUGCCUUCGGGAAUGCAGUGACAGGUGGUGCAUGGCUGUCGUCAGCUCGUGUCGUGAGAUGUUGGGUUAAGUCCCGCAACGAGCGCAACCCACGUUUUUAGUUGCCAGCAUUUAGUUGGGCACUCUAGAAAAACCGCCGGUGAUAAACCGGAGGAAGGUGUGGAUGACGUCAAGUCAUCAUGCCCCUUACACCCUGGGCUACACACGUACUACAAUGCUACGGACAAAGGGCAGCAAACUCGCGAGAGCUAGCAAAUCCCAUAAACCGUGGCUCAGUUCAGAUCGUAGGCUGCAACUCGCCUACGUGAAGUAGGAAUCGCUAGUAAUCGCAGGUCAGCAUACUGCGGUGAAUACGUUCCCGGGCCUUGUA